UGGGGAAUUUUGGACAAUGGGGGAAACCCUGAUCCAGCCAUCCCGCGUGUGCGAUGAAGGCCUUCGGGUUGUAAAGCACUUUUGGCAGGAAAGAAACGUCGCGGGUUAAUACCCCGCGAAACUGACGGUACCUGCAGAAUAAGCACCGGCUAACUACGUGCCAGCAGCCGCGGUAAUACGUAGGGUGCAAGCGUUAAUCGGAAUUACUGGGCGUAAAGCGUGCGCAGGCGGUUCGGAAAGAAAGAUGUGAAAUCCCAGAGCUUAACUUUGGAACUGCAUUUUUAACUACCGGGCUAGAGUGUGUCAGAGGGAGGUGGAAUUCCGCGUGUAGCAGUGAAAUGCGUAGAUAUGCGGAGGAACACCGAUGGCGAAGGCAGCCUCCUGGGAUAACACUGACGCUCAUGCACGAAAGCGUGGGGAGCAAACAGGAUUAGAUACCCUGGUAGUCCACGCCCUAAACGAUGUCAACUAGCUGUUGGGGCCUUCGGGCCUUGGUAGCGCAGCUAACGCGUGAAGUUGACCGCCUGGGGAGUACGGUCGCAAGAUUAAAACUU
rnacentral:rRNA from 1 species